AGUGAACGCUGGCGGUAGGCCCAACACAUGCAAGUCGAACGGCAGCACAGGAGAGCUUGCUCUCUGGGUGGCGAGUGGCGGACGGGUGAGGAAUACAUCGGAAUCUACUCUGUCGUGGGGGAUAACGUAGGGAAACUUACGCUAAUACCGCAUACGACCUACGGGUGAAAGCAGGGGACCUUCGGGCCUUGCGCGAUUGAAUGAGCCGAUGUCGGAUUAGCUAGUUGGCGGGGUAAAGGCCCACCAAGGCGACGAUCCGUAGCUGGUCUGAGAGGAUGAUCAGACACACUGGAACUGAGACACGGUCCAGACUCCUACGGGAGGCGGCAGUGGGGAAUAUUGGACAAUGGGAGCAAGCCUGAUCCAGCCAUACCGCGUGGGUGAAGAAGGCCUUCGGGUUGUAAAGCCCUUUUGUUGGGAAAGAAAUCCAGCUGGCUAAUACCCGGUUGGGAUGACGGUACCCAAAGAAUAAGCACCGGCUAACUUCGUGCCAGCCGCCGCCGUAA
rnacentral:rRNA from 1 species